rnacentral:tRNA from 1 species
UGGGGAUGUAGCUCAAAUGGUAGAGCGCUCGCUUUGCAUGCGAGAGGCACAGGGUUCGAUCCCCUGCAUCUCCAUAUUUAUUUUAUUUUUUGCCAAAACAAAUAAAAUCCCCACAGGAUCUGGACCGGACAUCUGAAACCAACACAAAACGGUGCGUAUUAGCACCCAACUCGAACAAACUUAACCGUCUCUACAUAAACCCUCGCAAUCUGUCGUCGUCGCCCCAACCCUGCUGUUUCUCCGAUUUAGACCAAUCCCAAUCAAAUUUCUCCGCCGCAUUAUCUUACCUCGCCGCCGCCGUCG